GAUUGCUUUCAACCCACCUUGAAUUAUUGCCAGGGUAUACGAGAAAAAAACAGCUACAACUGCCUUACAUUAUCAUUAAAAAAAUCAAUUUGUAAUUAUGUGCGGCAAAAACUGCGUGUGUGUAUAUAAAAAAAAUAUUCCAGCAGAAAAUGUGAAUACGAGUAUUCAUAUAAAUUUUCCAGCUAAGUGAAAAAUGUGUUAAGUGUAUUAAAAUUAAAUUUCAUUUUCGUACUCUCCGCUCGAGCAUAUGCCGGAUGUAUAUACAUAUAUAUAUAUAUAUAUGUAUCGGGUGUGUGUCCGUGGGCGUGUUGCACUUUUGCAAGCAACGACAACGAUAACAACAAAAAUUGCCGUUAAGGCCGGCGAAUUAAUGCGACAAGAUUUACAUGCGAAAUCUACGCGUGACAGGCGAACGCUUCGAUAGGCGUUGGAGCGUGGCACGAACAUGAACAAGAACUGUUGUAAAAGCAGCAAAUACCCCCUCGAAUUGAACUUUUCAUGGUUCACGUUAUCAGGAGUCGUCGUUGCCGAUUUGGGCUAAGCUCUGGAUUUGAAGACGUUGUCAGUGAAGCUUAUCAUACAUAUGUUCUGGACUUAUCAAGAAUUGGCGACGUUUUCGUUCCCUAGAAAGACUGCUCAUGGACUUAUCGCUAAAUUAAUCCCAGAUUUCUGCAUUGCUUAUGCCAAGGCUUCUUCCGCUUAACCACUUGACAUUGCGCUCCUUCUGGCUCCGAUUGCUCUUCUUAGAGGAACUUUGGCGCGUGCAACUAAGACGCAUGCCACACGAAACCGAUAAGAAAGCAAAUCCGCACACAUGAGACACGACACAGAAACAAAACAAAUACACGAAAUCCUUAAAGGAAUGUGCGCCAGGCCAAAGGCAAAGCUCAGUUCAAACCCAGCAAAAUGAUUUUAAAUGAUAUAGGAAAUGGCAACCGGAAUGGCAUGCAACAACAACAGCUCAAGAACUCUUGGGUCCUGACUAGAUCUUGUUAAGAUAAAGUCGCCGUUUUCCCGUCUUGCAAAUAUUAACAAGAAGAUGAUAUAGGAAAUAUGUUCAUUGUGAAUCUUGAACUCCCUUGCAGAGCUAAUAACUGUUACCUGUCGAACGGACUGUUUGGGAGAGGUGUUAAGUGAAAAAAACUUAUGCAAAUUGUGACCAAUAUAUAAAAUAACUAAUUGAAAUACGAAGGGUCUAACAGUUGGAAAUAAGGUAAUGUUCAUUUUGUUUCUAAUGAAAGUUAAUUAGCAAUUCAUUAAAUUAUUAAU